rnacentral:tRNA from 1 species
GCCUGAGUGGCUCAGUCAGUUAAGCGUCUGACUUCGGGUCAGGUUAUGAUCCCCCAGUUCGUGGGUUCAAGUCCCGCAUCAGGCU